UUUAUCCUAAAGUUUCAGAAUCAACUCUUCUGACAUUCUUCAAACUAAUCUUCCACUUUUUUUUCUCUCAUUUCAAACAAAUAAGAAGAAAAGGAAGAAAAAAAAAACUACUCGCCGGUUGUCCGGCGACUUCUCCGAUCAAUUUUUCGGUGACAGUGCAAAAGCUAUAUAUAUUUGUAUAUUCGUUCAGUUUCUCGAGUUUGGUUACAACUUUGUGUGUAUAUAGAAAUGGAUUUGAUAGAAGGUGUAGGUGAGAAUUCGUCACCGCCGAGGAGUAUUGGGAGCUGUGCAGUGUAUGAUAUUAAAAACGAUGUGUAUAAUCGUCUUGUAGAAACUGGAAAUCCUGAGGCAGUUACUAAUCCGGAGCUGCUUCGUGAACACUUGGAUUCUCACUUUGCUCGCUUGCCUGUUAGUUAUGGGUUGGAUAUUAAUGUGGAUAAAGCGGAAGAUGUGUUGUUGCAUCAGAAGAUUCUUGUUAGAGCAAAAGAACCCGAUAACCGGCCUGUUUAUCAUGUCCGAUUUUUAGAGAAUUAUUGGACUAGAUUUGAUGAUGCAAAGGGUCAGGAUGACUUCAAUGAUUUUAUGACUUCAAAGGCAGGUGGAAGCUUAAAUGAUAAAGGGAUAAGGAAGGGUAUGAAUGACUUUGAAACUUUCUCUAAGCUUGAGGACCUAAAUUUGGAUGUUAGGAAGAAUUUUAAUGACAAAGAAGAAAUUCUAGCAGAAGAUUCUAGCCGAAGGCAUGAAGUUUCAUGUAUUCUAGUCCAUGAAGUUAUCUUUUCCACCAUUGACAAACCCAAGCUUCUUAGUCAGCUCUCUGCUUUACUUUCUGACAUAGGGCUUAAUAUCCGAGAAGCUCAUGUUUUCUCAACAAUUGAUGGGUACUCAUUAGAUGUAUUUGUGGUGGAUGGAUGGCCUGUUGAGGAUACAAAGUCUUUGCAUGAAGAAUUGGGGAAAGCGAUUGCCAGAAGUGAGGGAACGUGGUCAGGUUCAUCUCAUUCUAGGUCAGCUGCUGAAAAAGUUAUAAUCGCACAAUCAAAACCCGAGGACUGGGAAAUUGAUAAAAGAUUACUGAAGAUUGGAGAAAGAAUUGCAUCAGGAUCUUGUGGCGAUUUGUAUCGUGGGAUGUAUCUUGGUAUGGAUGUUGCAAUCAAGGUCCUUAGAUCUGAGCAUUUGAAUGACACAUUGGAAGAUGAGUUCGCUCAAGAAAUAGCAAUUUUGAAGCAAGUUCAGCACAGAAAUGUUGUUCGUUUCAUUGGUGCAUGCACAAAUUCGCCUCAUUUGUGUAUAAUUACAGAAUUCAUGCCUGGUGGGAGCUUGUAUGAGUACCUGCAUAAAAACCAUGUUGUAUUGAAGCUCUCGCAAUUGCUAAGCUUUGCAAUUGAUGUCUGCAAAGGAAUGGAGUACUUGCAUCAAAACAAUAUCAUUCACAGGGAUUUGAAGGCGGCAAAUUUACUUAUGGAUUCAGACAAUGUUGUUAAAGUGGCAGAUUUUGGUGUUGCACGUUUCCAAAAUAAUGGAGGUGUCAUGACAGCUGAGACUGGAACAUAUAGAUGGAUGGCUCCUGAGUUGUGGAUGGAGCUCACUUGAGUUUGGACAGUCAAAUAUAAAGGCUUGCUAGCUUGUUGUGCUGCUGGAAUCUCUUUGCAGCUACUUUGGUUGAAAAGGAAUGAUUCAUAUAUAUGCUUAUUUUGAUAAUAUAAAUCUGAGAUCCCUCUUGUUUUCUGAAUUUCAUCGACACUCACUUGUAUAUUGAAAUGUUAAUAUUUUUAUGACUGUAUUAGUUUACUUACCAUUCCUUUGUUGCAUAGCAUAACAUAUAAUGUAUAACAAUUAAAAAUUACAUUGUUGUACAAGGGUGUUUGAGACAUUUGGGAAGUCUUCACAUUGAUACUGAUGCUCCUUUGUCAUGCCGCUAUUGUGACUUAUUGCCAUGCUCGAAAAUAUGUAUAGUGUUUCCUCACAGUCAGGGGAACGCUUUUAAAUAUAUUUUGCUUAGAAACUAAGGGGGUAGGUUUUUUAUUUGGGGGGGGGGGGCUUCUCGUUUAGUUAUUACUACAGCAGUGUGCAAGAUCUUGGUCAUGUUUCCAUGCUUUUCUAUGAUAGAGGAGUAUCUUCUGUGCUUUCUUUGUUUCCUCUACCCUGUUUGAUGAUAAUUUAUUAACACCAAGGGCUGCAUUUUGUGGCUAAUGUAUAUGAAGUAUAUUACCACGUGCAUAACUAUCUUGUGCUGCUGCAAACUUUGGUCUAUUAACCUUUUUUUUUAGAUCAUCAAUCAUCAGCCCUACGAUCAGAAAGCAGAUGUGUUUAGUUUUGCCAUUGUUAUUUGGGAGCUUUUAACAGCAAAGGUUCCAUAUGAUA